GCGACCGUGGCGGAAUCGGUAGACGCAGGGGACUUAAAAUCCCCCGCCUUCGGGCGUGCCGGUUCGAUUCCGGCCGGUCGCACCA
rnacentral:tRNA from 1 species